UUUCCCCCUUUUUGGGAAAGUUUUGUUUAGCAUGAUUCAGAAUAGUAGUGACUCUUUUAGAAAGAUCAUGGAUAAGUUCCAACGAGCUGAGCAAACUUAUCAAGAGUUAAGAAGGAAAAGAGAAACUAACAUUGAGGAAGAAAUGAAAGAAAUUAUAGAACGGUUACAAAAGUUUCCUUGUUAUUCUGAGGGGCCAUAAAGAUAGAGUUUAAACUUUAUUAAAACAAAGGUAAAUGUUGAAUGCAUACUUGGUGCCCACAAGUCUGGCAGUAUAACUGCAGUUUUCUAAACUAUUGUUUGCAGUUGAGAACUGUUUCCUAGACUGUAUGUUCAGCUUCCCUCCUUGCAAGGGACAUUGGUGGGGUAAUGAAUAGAGCUGGAUGAUUGCCAAUUAUCAUGUACCUGCUCUAACUGCUUAAAUCUGUGCCAAGAAGUAAAGCUUUCUGCAGCAGC
rnacentral:lncRNA from 1 species